GGUCCCGUAGCUCAGCAGGAUAGAGCGUCGGUUUCCUAAACCGCAGGUCGGAGGUUCGAAUCCUCUCGGGAUCACCA
rnacentral:tRNA from 2 species